rnacentral:lncRNA from 1 species
ACUCACUUUGUAGCCCAGGUUGGCCCCGAACUUGCAGUGAUCCCACUGCCUCAGCCUCCUUAGUGCUGGGAUUACAGGCAUGUGCCACCACACCUGGCUAAAAUCUUAACGCAUCCUGAGAAAUUAUUGAAGACUAUGAAUCAAAUAUUAGCAGCACAGAGAAGCUCAUCUGCUUCUACUUCCAGGUCAAAGAAGAGAAAAAUACCACUAAGAGAAAAUACGUUAUCUGUGUCAGUAUCAGAUAAAACAGAAUGUAAGGUAGCAAAGCCAAAUGCUGAUUUCUUGGAAAUGCAAACAUAAAGAUAAGUUUCUGGAAGUGCUGACAAGAAAAAGAGAAGAGUCGUAAAGGUAUGCUCAUUUCUUUGUCUAUUCUCCCUCUCUCCCUCUCCCUCUCUGUUUCUCACUCUCUUUUUUCAGGGAAGAUGCUGGGGAUGGAGACCA